UACGAAGGGGGCUAGCGUUGCUCGGAAUCACUGGGCGUAAAGGGUGCGUAGGCGGGUCUUUAAGUCAGGGGUGAAAUCCUGGAGCUCAACUCCAGAACUGCCUUUGAUACUGAGGGUCUUGAGUUCGGGAGAGGUGAGUGGAACUGCGAGUGUAGAGGUGAAAUUCGUAGAUAUUCGCAAGAACACCAGUGGCGAAGGCGGCUCACUGGCCCGAUACUGACGCUGAGGCACGAAAGCGUGGGGAGCAAACAGG
rnacentral:rRNA from 1 species